AGAAAAAUAAUGAAUAUUCAUGAUAUUAUCGAAGAAGAGAUGCUGAACAGUUGAAAAACACGAAGCAGUCACGAUGGUCAUGCUUCCCUAGUUGUGUGUGAGUAUGUGAAUUUUUACGAUUUUUCAACCAAAAUCCUGGGAAAAUUCAACAUGUUAAUUUCCUGAUUUUAGUGAGACAAUAAUUUUUUUUUUGCAAUUUUAGUGAACAUGGCCACAUAGUUCAUGUGAUUCCCCGUGAACUUGAGAACACAUAUUUAAAAAAUCUCUCUGACAACUGUUUUGGUUAGGAUUUAAUUUGGGUUUAAACCUAUAGUCUGAGAAGUCUACAGAAUGAUAGUGAAGUAGACCGAUAACAAAGCCUGCAAAAGCAACAUGAAGACGGACAGCUUUGCAGCAGGUUUAUAUUCUUAGAUGCCAGCAGAAACAAGCCAAAACAAAUGGCCGCCUUGGAAACUAUAGGAUAUUAGCCCAAUACAGUAGUAAUACAGUUGAUGAUUUACUUUCAUAUUAAAUUGUGCUUUCUCAGUUGCUGCCAAGCAAGAUGACAGUCAGAUACCAUGGCCAAUGAAGUGUCUACAUCCAACCUGUAUUUUCCAGAUAAGUUCGCGGCUUUCAUAACAGCUGGGCUCAUAUGUUUUGCUGUGUAUACCUGUUGAUGGAAAGCUCCAGCUUCGCCAUUCCCAUUGCUGACAGUUUCGUUCAGUGUUCUUAGCUUGGAUGCUCGCCUUGCUAGUGUUUUUGCUGAAGCUACAUCGCUAGAAACUUUACAGUUUGGGAUGAUGGCAACUUUAGUUGGCUGUGUAGAAAAUUACAUUUUCAUGUGAAACUGUGUGAUGAUUUUGUCAUUUAUUAUAUAUUUUGAAAAAUGGAUUAUACAAAAUAGUAAUGCAAUUACCCGUCCAUUGGUGGAAAUCAGCAUCUCCUUGUUUUUCUUCAGACUGUCAUAAACAAUCUUUUCUGCAAAGGUCUGGAUUUUCUGAGGAACAUGUUGGUGUUUUUUUAAAAUUUCCUCCAACACAGAGACCGCAUUACAGGCAGAGAAUGCUUGCUCUCGCUCAGUUCAUUUUUUGCUGCAAACAUGUGCUCUACUAUCAGUGUACGAUACACUGUUGUCGCAACUUGUACAUUUAAGUUGUACGAUUUGUGAUGCCGAAUUGAAAUCAUGCACUGACAUUGGAUAAGUGCACACAAGACAAGAACGUUUAUUAACACGAAGUGUAUUAAAUAAUUUUGUCAAACAAACCGAGCAAUAAUGAUGUGCGUACUUUGAUACUAAAUUGUCUAGUGAUAAAAUGCAGCUACAUAUUGUACACAUAUAAUUUUCAGGAUUUAUCUGAUUGUGUACUAUGAAUUUUGAAUCAAUUGUGUUAUUGCUUACUUUCAGAAAUAAUUCAUUUAAUUUCACUGUGAUUUUCUUUCCUGGUUUGCUUUGUUCAGUAAAUAAAUAGCAUGUGAA